GUGCUUGCUUCGGCAGCACCUAUACUACAGUUGUAACAAUACAGAGAAGAUUAGCAUGGCCUCUGUGCAAGGAUAACAUGCAAAUUUGUGAAGCAUUCCAUAUUUUU
ensembl:snRNA U6 U6 spliceosomal RNA